CCUACGGGAGGCAGCAGUGGGGAAUUUUGCACAAUGGGGGAAACCCUGAUCCAGCCACGCCGCGUGGAUGGUGAAGGCCCUUGGGAUGUAAACUCCUUUCGAUCGGGACGAUUAUGACGGUACCGGAUGAAUAAGCCCCGGCUAACUCUGUGCCAGCAGCCGCGGUAAU
rnacentral:rRNA from 1 species